UACGAAGGGGGCUAGCGUUGUUCGGAAUUACUGGGCGUAAAGGGCGCGUAGGCGGCUUUUCAAGUCGGGCGUGAAAUCUCCGGGCUUAACCCGGAAGGGUCGUUCGAUACUGUUGAGCUAGAGUGUGGAAGAGGCAACUAGAAUUCCGUGUGUAGCGGUGAAAUGCGUAGAUAUACGGAGGAAUACCUGAGGCGAAGGCGGGUUGCUGGGCCAACACUGACGCUGAGGCGCGAAAGCCAGGGGAGCAAACGGG
rnacentral:rRNA from 1 species